rnacentral:rRNA from 1 species
AGGGUUUGACAUCCUCGGCAAAGCUAUAGAAAUAUAGUGGAGGUUAACCGAGAGACAGGUGGUGCAUGGUU